ensembl:lncRNA
GAACAAGACAAAACUACCUACACAGAGUCGGUCUAUGACUGAUCUAUGAACUAAAAUGAAUAACCAACAUGUAAAAUACAAAAAUGUUAUUGUUUAAUUGCACAAUAUUUGUUAUAAUUAUAAAGGAGAAAAUGUGUUACAUGCAUUUGGUAACGGGGGGGGUAAUUUGUAAUCAUAUUCCACAAAUAAAUCAAAUCAAUCGUAUUUAAUAAAGCGCUUUUUUUUUACAUCAGCCACUGUCACAAAGUGCUGUCCAGAAAGGCCCCCCGCUACUUGGAAACGGGGACGACUCUUUGAAGAGUCAGAAGCAGAGGAAUCAAGAGGACGGUUGUCGUGUCCUUGGCGGUAGAAAGGCGAACUGAAAGUGAAAUAGUGAACCAGCCUAACAAGGAAGCCAGACAUUGAACCGUUUUGUAGCCACUUCUCUAGUUGCAAUUUCAUUGAUUUGUGAUAUCGCAGCCGGACGUUUCUGCAAACACCUCGUUAGUAUGUAACUAGUUAGCGGACACUGGACGUGUUGUAUAUGUUUGCUUGCCAGAUAUCUAACGUUACUGUUACCUUUUGACAUUGUGUUAUUAAAGUCAGUCGAUAGAUACUAAAACUAGGUGUAAUAAUCUUCCACAACCAUGGAAUAUAUGACAGCCGUCCAGAAGAAGAGACGCCACGAAGGAGACCUUCAAACCCGGAAAGAUUGCCAAGCGAAACGACUGUGCAACGGAGUGGGAGUCUGCGUCCGGGUUGAACAUGGCGGGAUGGUGACUGACGGUGCCAUGGAUGCCAGCAUGCAACAGCAGGGUGUCCCAAACAGCGGUGUCGGCAUCAACCACCCAGCUUCUAACAUGGUCUAUGCAGUCCAAGGCAGCCAAUGUUGUAAUCGGUGCCUGGCAGGGGAGCCCGUAAGUAGUGUCCUGAUGUUUUGCCUGAACAUGUCCCAGUAGUGACUGAUGUCAGUGUCUAGGCCUAAACCCAGCAUUUUGUACACCAAAACUAAUGUCUCAUCAGUGGCAAUCGGGAUUUAACAGCUAUAGCACAUAUAGUCAAACAUUCCUAAUAACUAAUAUGGGAUAUUAUGUCUCUUACUUUGGGGACAAUUGUUGCACCUAUAAAAUCAACAUAAUAAAAGAUGCCUAUUUUAGAAGGGCUGUCCCUCGGGCUAAAGAACCUACCAUAUUGACCAUGGAGCCCUUUGCUGUUCAUGCUCACCUUGGGCCGAGUCGACGUUCUGGACUUUUUCAUGUUAAACGGGUUAAUCAGUCCCUCCAGGUUUCUGCAAUUAUUUGUAUUUAUUUAUUGCUAAAUCAAUAAUUCCCUGCGUAUUAUGCGGGGACUUGUACAUUUGACCAAUCACUGCACUCUUUCCACGUGCGACAGUCAAAUCAUCGCAAUGUUGUCACAUAAACCAGGCCCAUCGCCCGCAGUACAAAAAUAGGGCUUGCAAUUUCAACCAAUCAGAGUACAUUUACUACAUAAUGUGUUUAAAUGAAGCCACGCAUCAACAAAUCUUCCCCCCCGUCAGCUCAGUUUCACGACAAAUUGGACUAAAUCAUAGCCAUGCAAAAUGUCAGGAUUGCCGCAGCAAAGUCAAGCCGUUUGCUCUGCAAAAAUCCCAUCAGAAUGCUGGAGGGACUGAUUAAUGAACAUGACAUGGGUUCAGUCCCAAAUGGCACCCUAUUCCCUAUAUAGUGCACUACCCUGUUCCCCACGUAGUGCACUACCCUGUUCCCCACGUGGUGCACUACCCUGUUCCCCACGUAGUGCACUACCCUGUUCCCCACGUAGUGCACUACCCUGUUCCCCACGUGGUGCACUACCCCGUUCCCCACGUAGUGCACUACCCCGUUCCCCACGUGGUGCACUACCCUGUUACCCACGUAGUGCACUACCCUGUUACCCACGUGGUGCACUACCCUGUUCCCCACGUGGUGCACUACCCUGUUCCCCCACGUGGUGCACUACCCUGUUCCCCUAUAUAGUGCACUACCCUGUUCCCUAUAUAGUGCACUACCCUGUUCCCCAUAUAGUGCACUACCCUGUUCCCCUAUAUAGUGCACUACCCUGUUCCCCAUCAUAGUGCACUACCCUGUUCCCCUAUAUUGCACUACCCUGUUCCCCUAUAUAGUGCACUACCCUGUUCCCCUAUAUAGUGCACUACCCUGUUCCCCUAUAUAGUGCACUACAUAGUGGAGAGGGUGCCAUUUGGAAUGCUACCAUCAUGUAAACGGUUAAUUCCAUAAAGAUUACCUGUGUCACAUAAUGAGUCUCUUCUCAGGGCCACAUUAACCACAUCAUGGGGUAUUGAUCGGUUAUCGUCAUGAUCAGAGAUCGUUUGAAGAACUGAAGGAUCCUUGAGGAUGAAGAGAAUGAUCGAUUGAUUGAGUGCUUGAUCAAGUCAUUGUGUAUGUGGCUGUGAACCGUUUUAUCAGUGUGCCUUGCCUUUUCUAGCUGUUAUUAACCACAAGCACUGUACUGCUUCAUGUAUAGCCUCGCAUGUUUACACUACCUAACACUGGGUAUGGGGGAAAUGGCUACUAACCAGACAGUAGACAUGGUGAUUUCAUACCGUCUUACUAACAUUCUGUUUGAAUGGAAAGAUAACCACUACAGUGUAGUCUACACACAACCAUAAGGAAGGAGCCAUCAAGCCACAAGUAAUACUGAAACUUUACACUGUAAUGUGGAUACUCCUUUAAUGUCAAUGGAUGUAUUAAAUGAAAUAAAAUACGUAUUGUCCCAGUAUCAAGACUGCUUUCUAAAGCUGCCAGAAAAUAUAAAUGUAAAUAGUAAUAUUGAUAAGUUAAAAACUUUUUAAAGUUAUAUAAUUGUUAACCUUUUUUUGAAAUGGAUAAUCCUGUCUGCAAAUAUAUUUUUCUGAAAUAAAUAUUUGAUAUAUUUUUCUAAAAUGUAAUUGGCUGAAUAUAAAAUAAGAAGUUUGUAACCAAUAUUUGUGCUAAUCGUUUCAUUUUGGAUAGUGUCCUGAAUUGUGUUUAAUCUCAUGAACGUUUUCAGCCAGUUUUCAAUAGUUUGAUCUACACUUGAAAUGUAGAGCCGUUUUGACAAGGAUUUGUCUGUUUCCCACUAGAUGUGGUUUUGUGUCGUCUUAGAAUGAUUUGAAGCCAGUUUCCACCUUGCCAAGCAGUGAGUUUUAUAGUUGAUGCUGUUCAAUUUCAGGUUAUGACUCAAUGUAAUAGUUUUAUUUUUAGUACAAGGAAAAACAACUUUCAAUAAAGUAUGAUUUGAUGAACAA